rnacentral:rRNA from 1 species
UGCCAGACUCCUACGGGAGGCAGCAGUGAGGCCUCUUGGUCAAUGGCCGCGAGGCUGACCCCGCCAAGUCGCGUGCGGGAAGACAGCCCUCCGGGUUGUACCCCUCUUUUGUCGGGGCGCCAAGCGAACCCCGUGUGGUUCAUUGAGAGUACCCGAAGAAAAAGCAUCGGCUACCUCCGUGCCAGCAGCCGCGGUAAUACGGAGGAUGCGAGCGUUAUCCGGAUUUAUUGGGUUUAAAGGGUGCGCAGGCGGAGGUGCAAGUCAGCGGUCAAAUUGCGGGGCUCGACCCCGUACUGCCGUUGAAACUGCAUCCCUUGAGUGCGCGAGAAGUAUGCGGAAUGCGUGGUGUAGCGGUGAAAUGCAUAGAUAUCACGCAGAACUCCGAUUGCGAAGGCAGCAUACCGGCGCGCAACUGACGCUCAUUCACGAAAGUGUGGGUAUCGAACAGGAUCAGAUACCCUCGUAU